rnacentral:rRNA from 1 species
GCUUGACUGUAUCUUGGAAUGGGGUUCGGGCUUUUCUUGCGCAGACUAGGUGGGAGGCUAUGAAGAUUUUCUUCUGGGAAAGUUGGAGCCAACAGUGAGAGACCACUCUGGAAAGGCUAGAAUCCUAAUGGUGAUCCUUGAAUCAGGACACUUGACAGUUUCAGGUGGGCAGUUUUUCUGGGGCGGAAGCCUCAUAAAAGGUAACUGAGGCGCGCAAAGGUCCCCUCAGUCUGGACGGAAAUCAGACAUUGAGUGUAAAGGCAAAAGGGGGCUUGACUGCAAGACCCACAAGUCGAGCAGGGGCGAAAGCUGGCCUUAGUGAUCCGACGGUGCCGUGUGGAAGGGCCGUCGCUCAACGAAUAAAAGUUA